rnacentral:rRNA from 1 species
UACGUAGGGGGCAAGCGUUGUCCGGAUUUAUUGGGCGUAAAGAGCGUGUAGGCGGCUUUACAGGUCCGUUGUGAAAACUCGAGGCUCAACCUCGAGACGCCGGUGGAAACCGUAAAGCUAGAGUCCGGAAGAGGAGAGUGGAAUUCCUGGUGUAGCGGUGAAAUGCGCAGAUAUCAGGAGGAACACCCGUGGCGAAAGCGGCUCUCUGGGACGGUACUGACGCUGAGGCGCGAAAGCUAGGGGAGCAAACAGG